ACUCAGUACCCGAAUUUCUUGACGACCAUAGAGCAUUGGAACCACCUGAUCCCAUCCCGAACUCAGCAGUGAAACGAUGCAUCGCCGAUGGUAGUUUGGGGUUUCCCCAUGUGAGAGUAGGUCAUCGUCAAGA
rnacentral:rRNA from 1 species